GCGCGCGAGCGCGGUGACGUCGUCUUCCGUGAGAGACUUCUUCUCCAUGACAGACUCGAGCUUCGUGCGGUAGUUCUCCUUGUUCACGCCGGCGGCGAUCUCGGGCGGGAACUGAAGCUUCUCGCAAAUUUGCUGAAGCACCGAGGCGGGGGACUCCGCGGUGUCGAGCGAGCCGGAUUUGACCGCGUCGCGGAGCUGCUCGCGGUACACCUUCGUCGUGACCUCGAUCACGAUGUCCUCGGCUUCCUUGUUCCCCAUCCCGAACAGCGCCUUGAGCUUCCCGGCUUCGUCCUUGAGCUCGGCGGAUAAUUCGCCCGCCUCGGUGCCCUGCGUGAGGAAGUUUUUGAACAACACGUUCAGCUCGGAGCUCUUGUCCUCCCACGGCGUCCCCGCGAGGACCGCCGGCGCGAGCCCGGAGAUCUGUCCCGCGGACGCUGCGAGCGACACGUUGUACGCGAGCACUUCGCGAAGAAGCGCGUUCGCGGCGGAGUAGUCCGAGUUCACCGUCCGCGCCGACGCCAGCUCGGACGCCUUCUCGAUGAGGUCCACCACGUGCCGCUGGCACAUCGGGCCGACAACCUCCGCGGUGUCUUCGUCCGAGAGGUUGAUCUCGCCCUGGUACGCCUUGGCGUCCGCGAGAGCGGCGGCGUCGAGCGUCGCGAUCGCGUUGGACCCCUCGAGGCGCGUCUUGAGGAGCUUGCUCGCGGACUCCUUCAACGCGAGCGUGACUUGCGCGUCCGACACGCGGAAGAUGCGGUUCCACGGGAGCAAAAACUUCGCCUGCUUCUCGCCAAACGUCCUCGUGGAGAUGAACACGAGCUUCUGAAACUCCCGUCGCGAUUCGAGGUCCGCGUCCUUAUCCCCGAGCUCGAUGCGUUUGCGGAACAGCCGACGUCCGACUUCGAUGUGCGCGUUGGCCGCGUCGUGAUCCUCGAGACCCAGUCGCCUUCGAAAGUUCGUCAGCGCCUCCGGCUCCCACCCCUGCACGGGCUCGUCCCCCAUCGGGAUGAUCGACAU
rnacentral:lncRNA from 1 species